rnacentral:rRNA from 1 species
CAGGUGAAACAUUCAACGGCCGCGGUAUCCUAACCGUGCAAAGGUAGCGUAAUCACUUGUCUCCUAAAUAGAGACCUGUAUGAACGGCUAAAUGAGGACUAAACUGUCUCCUUUAACCAAUCAGUGAAACUGAUCUAUCAGUCCAAAAGCUGAUAUGUGCCCAUAAGACGAGAAGACCCUGUGGAGCUUUAAAUUAAUAGCCAAACAAAGCUAAACCUAGGCCCAACCCAUGGCUAACAAUUUUAAGUUGGGGCGACUUCGGAACAAAACCAAACUUCCGAGCAUAUAGAAAAUUAAUCUAACCGAGGCCUACAAGCCAAAGAACAACUGACCCAGUAAUACUGAUCAACGAACCAAGUUACCCCAGGGAUAACAGCGCCAUCUUCUUCAAGAGUCCAUAUCGACAAGAAGGUUUACGACCUCGAUGUUGGAUCAGGACACCCAAAUGGUGCAGCCGCUAUUAAAGGUUCGUUUGUUCAACGAU